rnacentral:rRNA from 1 species
AGGGUUUGAUUAUGGCUCAGAACGAACGCUGGCGGCAUGCUUAACACAUGCAAGUCGAACGAAGACCCGGAGCUUGCUCCGGAUCUCUUAGUGGCGAACGGGUGAGUAACGCGUGGGAAUCUACCUUAAAGUGGGGAAUAACUAUUGGAAACGAUAGCUAAUACCGCAUAAUCCCUAAGGGGCAAAGGCUUCGGCCGCUUUUAGAUGAGCCCGCGUUAGAUUAGGCUGUUGGUGAGGUAAUGGCUCACCAAACCUGUAAUCUAUAGCUGGUCUGAGAGGACGAUCAGCCACACUGGGACUGAGACGCGGCCCAGACUCCUACGGGAGGCAGCAGUGGGGAAUAUUGGACAAUGGGGGAAACCCUGAUCCAGCAAUGCCGCGUGAGUGAUGAAGGCCCUAGGGUUGUAAAACUCUUUCAGAAGUGAAGAUGAUGACGGUAACUUCAGAAGAAGCUCCGGCUAACUCCGUGCCAGCAGCCGCGGUAAUUC